rnacentral:rRNA from 1 species
UGGUCAAGCUAGUAAGGGCAUAGGGUGGAUGCCUUGGCACCAGGAGCCGAUGAAGGACGGGAUAAGCGCCGAUACGCCUCGGGUAGCCGCAAGUAGGCUUUGAUCCGGGGAUUUCCGAAUGGGGGAACCCACCUAGGGCAAACCCUAGGUAUCACCUACUGAACACAUAGGUAGGUGAGGGCACACCGGGGGAACUGAAACAUCUAAGUACCCCGAGGAAAAGAAAGAAAACUCGAUUCCCUAAGUAGCGGCGAGCGAAAGGGGAACAGCCCAAACCUGUAAAGCUUCGCUUUACAGGGGUUGCGGACACAGCCAUUAACUAAGUGACUUUUGUAGCCGAAUAGGUCUGGAAAGGCCAACCACAGAAGGUGAUAGUCCUGUAGGCGAAACGAAAGGAGCUUAGGGUUGUGAUCCAGAGUACCACGGGACACGUGAAACCCUGUGGGAAGCAGGGAGGACCACCUCCCAAGGCUAAAUACUACCUGGUGACCGAUAGCGCAUAGUACCGUGAGGGAAAGGUGAAAAGAACCCCGGGAGGGGAGUGAAAUAGAACCUGAAACCCUAUGUCUACAAGCAGUGGAAGCACUUUAUAUGUGCAACCGCGUACUUUUUGUAGAACGGGCCAGCGAGUUACGAUAUGCAGCGAGGUUAAGGACUUAAGGUCUGGAGCCGUAGGGAAACCGAGUCUUAAAUGGGCGCUUUUAGUUGCAUGUCGUAGACCCGAAACCGGGUGACCUACCCAUGGGCAGGGUGAAGCGAAAGUAAAAUUUCGUGGAGGCCCGAACCCGUGUCUGUUGAAAAAGGCUGGGAUGACCUGUGGGUAGCGGUGAAAUUCCAAUCGAACUCGGAUAUAGCUGGUUCUCCCCGAAAUAGCUUUAGGGCUAGCCUCAAGGUAGUGACAUGGAGGUAGAGCACUGAAUGGUCUAGGGGCGCUCACACGCUACCGAAACCUAUCAAACUCCGAAUGCCAUAGUCAUGUUCCUUGGGAGUCAGACUAUGUGAGAUAAGUUUCAUAGUCGAGAGGGAAAGAGCCCAGACCGCCAGCUAAGGUCCCUAAGUACAGGUUAAGUGGUAAAGGAUGUAAGACUACACAGACAACCAGGAUGUUGGCUUAGAAGCAGCCAUUCAUUUAAAGAGUGCGUAAUAGCUCACUGGUCGAGUGGUCUUGCGCCGAAAAUGUCCGGGGCUCAAACCUGUCACCGAAGCUGCGGCAGCGCGAAGCGCUGGGUAGGGGAGCAUUCUGCAGAGGCAGAAGCUACACCGUAAGGAGUGGUGGACACUGCAGAAGAGAGAAUGCUGGCAUGAGUAGCGAAAGGUGGGUGAGAAUCCCACCCGUCGAAAGCCUAAGGUUUCCUGAGGAAGGCUCGUCCACUCAGGGUUAGUCGGGACCUAAGCCGAGGCCGAAAGGCGUAGGCGAUGGACAACAGGUUGAGAUUCCUGUACCACCUAUUUGCGCUAAAGAGAUGGGGUGACGCAGGAGGAUAGGCUGAGCGCACCGUUGGUUGAGUGCGUCCAAGCCGGUAGGAAGUUCCUAUAGGCAAAUCCGUAGGGACAAUUCCGAGAGGUGAUGGGGAGCGAAAUUAAAGUAGCGAAGCAGCUGAUUCCACACUGCCGAGAAAAGCCUCUAUCGAGUAAAUAGGUGCCCGUACCGCAAACCGACACAGGUAGGCGAGGAGAGAAUCCUAAGACGAGCGGGAGAACCCUUGUUAAGGAACUCGGCAAAAUGACCCCGUAACUUCGGGAGAAGGGGUGCCGGAGGAGGUGAAGGUCUUAGCGACUGGAGCCUUAGCCGGCCGCAGAGGAUAGGCCCAAGCGACUGUUUACCAAAAACACAGGUCUCUGCUAAGUCGAAAGACGAAGUAUAGGGGCUGACGCCUGCCCGGUGCUGGAAGGUUAAGGGGAAGUGUUAGCUUAGGCGAAGCACUGAACUUAAGCCCCAGUAAACGGCGGCCGUAACUAUAACGGUCCUAAGGUAGCGAAAUUCCUUGUCGGGUAAGUUCCGACCCGCACGAAAGGCGUAACGACUUGGGCACUGUCUCAACAAGGGACCCGGUGAAAUUGUAGUACCAGUGAAGAUGCUGGUUACCCGCGGCAGGACGGAAAGACCCCGUGGAGCUUUACUGCAGGCUGACAUUGGAUUUUGGUAUCACAUGUACAGGAUAGGUGGGAGACUGAGAAAUCGGGGCGCCAGCUUCGAUGGAGUCGACCUUGGGAUACCACCCUUGUGGUACUGGAAUUCUAACCAGAGGCCGUGAAACCGGUCUUGGGACACUGUCAGUUGGGCAGUUUGACUGGGGCGGUCGCCUCCUAAAAGGUAACGGAGGCGCUCAAAGGUUCCCUCAGCACGGUCGGAAAUCGUGCGUAGAGUGUAAAGGCAGAAGGGAGCUUGACUGCGAGAGAGACACCUCGAGCAGGAACGAAAGUUGGACUUAGUGAUCCGGUGGUUCCGAGUGGAAGGGCCAUCGCUCAACGGAUAAAAGCUACCCCGGGGAUAACAGGCUUAUCUCCCCCAAGAGUCCACAUCGACGGGGAGGUUUGGCACCUCGAUGUCGGCUCGUCUCAUCCUGGGGCUGAAGUAGGUCCCAAGGGUUGGGCUGUUCGCCCAUUAAAGAGGCACGCGAGCUGGGUUCAGAACGUCGUGAGACAGUUCGGUCCCUAUCCGCCGUGGGCGCAGGAAAUUUGAGAGGAGCUGUCCCUAGUACGAGAGGACCGGGAUGGACAGACCGCUGGUGCAUCAGUUGUUCCGCCAGGGGCACAGCUGAGUAGCCAAGUCUGGAAGGGAUAAGCGCUGAAGGCAUCUAAGCGCGAAGCCCCCCUCAAGAUAAGAUUUCCCAUCCGCAAGGAGUAAGACCCCAGAUAGACUAUCUGGUUGAUAGGCCUGAGGUGUAAGGACAGUAAUGUCUUUAGCUGACAGGUACUAAUAGGUCGAGGGCUUGACCAAAU